AAGGGGGAGUUGAUCUUGGAGAUGUUUUUGGUCCAGGAGAAUCCAGGGGAAGUGACUGAGAGUGGCUUGGUAAUGGGGUUAUGCUGCACGACCCCUUCUAGUCCAGAACAGGGUAAUUGAAUGU